GAUGAACGCUGGCGGCGUGCCUAAUACAUGCAAGUCGAGCGAACGGACGAGAAUCUUGCUUCUCUGAUGUUAGCGGCGGACGGGUGAGUAACACGUGGAUAACCUACCUAUAAGACUUGGAUAACUUCGGGAGACCGGAGCUAAUACCGUAUACUAUUUUGAACCGCAUGGUUCAAAAGUGAAAGACGGUCUUGCUGUCACUUAUACAUGGAUCCGCGCUGCAUUAUCUAGUGGGUAAGGGAACGGCUUACCAAGGCAACGAUGCAUAGCCGACCUGAGAGGGAGAACGGGCAGCCUAGCAGUGAGGCACAGCCGCGACUUCUAGGGUAGGACGCAGUAGGGACUCCUACGCGAUGGGGGAGAGCCUGAUGGAGCACAGUCGCGUGAGUGCUGAAGGACUUAGGCUGGGAAAAUUAUGUUAUAAGGGAAGAACAUAUGUGUAAGCAACUGUGAACAUAUUGACGGUACCUAAAUAGAAAGCCCCGGCUAACUACGUG
rnacentral:rRNA from 1 species